AUUGAACGCUGGCGGCAGGCUUAACACAUGCAAGUCGAGCGGGGACUUCGGUCCUAGCGGCGAACGGGUGAGGAAUGCUUGGGAAUCUGCCCAGUAGCGGGGGAUAACGUUUCGAAGGGAACGCUAAUACCGCAUACGCCCUACGGGGGAAAGGGGGGGAUCUUCGGACCUCUCACUAUUGGAUGAGCCCAAGUCGGAUUAGCUAGUUGGUGGGGUAAAGGUCUACCAAGGCGACGAUCCGUAGCUGGUCUGAGAGGAUGAUCAGCCACACUGGAACUGAGACACGGGCCAGACUCCUACGGGAGGCAGCAGUGGGGAAUAUUGGACAAUGGGCGAAAGCCUGAUUCAGCCAUGCCGCGUGUGUGAAGAAGGCCUUCGGGUUGUAAAGCACUUUAAGCGAGGAGGAAUGGCUGAGGGUUAAUAACCUUCAGCAGUGACGUUACGCGCAGAAUAAGCACCGGCUAACUCUGUGCCAGCCGCCGCCGUAA
rnacentral:rRNA from 1 species